rnacentral:lncRNA from 1 species
AUGGCUGGGGGCUGACACUGCACUUCCUGUGUUUGUCACUUUUCUGAGCGAAGCAGAGACGGGGCCACUAGCUGAGCUAAGAACCCAGCUCCCACCCCAGAGCAACCGGCUCCGCAUGGCGCUAACUCUCCUUCUGCCAGUGCUGGCUUGACUCCCGACUGUCCCACGGCUGGUCCCACCUGCAGUUCCGGAGCCUUCGCAAUAUCUGAGGGGAUCUGAGCCCGGGAAAGGUGAUGGGGAACUGGACUCCAGGAGGUGCCAUGAGGAAUUGAAACCCAGCAGUGUCAGAGUGGACCUACCGGGAGAGGGCUCCGAUGUGUACACACUCCGGACAGUCCCCUCCUCUGUGACGCCCUGAGCACCAGGGAAGCAGAAUGGAGCCUCGGGAACGAAAGAGGUGCUGUGCCAU